AACGAACGCUGGCGGCAGGCCUAACACAUGCAAGUCGAGCGCGCCCUUCGGGGUGAGCGGCGGACGGGUGAGUAACGCGUGGGAACGUGCCCUUUUCUACGGAAUAGCCUCGGGAAACUGAGAGUAAUACCGUAUACGCCCUUUGGGGGAAAGAUUUAUCGGAAAAGGAUCGGCCCGCGUUGGAUUAGGUAGUUGGUGGGGUAAUGGCCUACCAAGCCGACGAUCCAUAGCUGGUUUGAGAGGAUGAUCAGCCACACUGGGACUGAGACACGGCCCAGACUCCUACGGGAGGCAGCAGUGGGGAAUCUUAGACAAUGGGGGCAACCCUGAUCUAGCCAUGCCGCGUGAGUGAGGAAGGCCUUAGGGUUGUAAAGCUCUUUCAGCUGGGAAGAUAAUGACGGUACCAGCAGAAGAAGCCCCGGCUAACUCCGU
rnacentral:rRNA from 1 species